GAACGCACCUUGCACCCUUUGGUAUUCCGAAGGGUACACCCGUUUGCGUGUCAUUGUAAUCUCACUUCAACGACUUUAUUGUUGUUUGAAUGUGGACUUGGACGUCUGCCAUGUAACAAUGGCUCGUCUUAAAUGCCUGAGUGUACCCCGCUUUGCGGCGUAUUCGGUGUGAUAAACAUUUCACCGGAAUUUGGUCUUUAUUGACCGCGCUUUUAGCAAUUGGUGGGCUCUAUGCUUUCUAACCGUCUGCCUCUGUGGACAAUCUCUUGACAAUUUGACCUCAAAUCGGGUGGGACUACCCGCUGAACUUAAG
rnacentral:misc_RNA from 1 species